UACGGAGGGUGCAAGCGUUGUCCGGAUUUAUUGGGUUUAAAGGGUGCGUAGGCGGUUCUUUAAGUCCGGGGUGAAAGCCCACUGCUCAACAGUGGAACUGCCCUGGAAACUGGAGAACUUGAGUACAGACGAGGGCGGCGGAAUGGAUGGUGUAGCGGUGAAAUGCAUAGAUACCAUCCAGAACCCCGAUUGCGAAGGCAGCUGCCAAGACUGUAACUGACGCUGAGGCACGAAAGCGUGGGGAGCGAACAGG
rnacentral:rRNA from 1 species